rnacentral:rRNA from 1 species
GUGGGGAAUAUUGGACAAUGGGCGAAAGCCUGAUCCAGCAAUGCCGCGUGAGUGAAGAAGGCCUUAGGGUUGUAAAGCUCUUUUGUCCGGGAAGAUAAUGACUGUACCGGAAGAAUAAGCCCCGGCUAACUUCGUGCCAGCAGCCGCGGUAAUACGAAGGGGGCUAGCGUUGUUCGGAAUCACUGGGCGUAAAGCGCACGUAGGCGGACCAUUAAGUCAGGGGUGAAAGCCUGGAGCUCAACUCCAGAACUGCCUUUGAUACUGAUGGUCUCGAGUAUGGAAGAGGUUGGUGGAACUGCGAGUGUAGAGGUGAAAUUCGUAGAUAUUUGCAAGAACACCGGUGGCGAAGGCGGCCAACUGGUCCAUUACUGACGCUGAGGUGCGAAAGCGUGGGGAGCAAACAGGAUUAGAUACCCGAGUAGUCC